CGUGAGAUGUUGGGUUAAGUCCCGCAACGAGCGCAACCCUCGCCCCGUGUUGCCAGCACGUUAUGGUGGGAACUCACGGGGGACCGCCGGGGUUAACUCGGAGGAAGGUGGGGAUGACGUCAGAUCAUCAUGCCCCUUACGUCCAGGGCUUCACGCAUGCUACAAUGGCCGGUACAGCGGGAUGCGACAUGGCGACAUGGAGCGGAUCCCUGAAAACCGGUCUCAGUUCGGAUCGAGCCUGCAACCCGGCUCCGUGAAGU
rnacentral:rRNA from 1 species